rnacentral:tRNA from 1 species
GCCCCGUUAGCUCAGUGGCAGAGCGUGCUCGUCUUUUCUCUCUCUUCCUCCCUAAACCCUAAAAUCUCUUCCACUCCGUCUCCGUUCCUUUGUACCUAAACUCUUCGGCAAGGCGCUGGUUCGAUUCCAGCACGGGGCA